GAGGGCCGGAGUCACGGGCGCAGCAAUGCCGUGUGCGCAAUGCAGAGACAGAACAAAGCGCAGGGUACGGGGGCAGUGAGACGCGUCUCGUAAAGCUCAUCUCAGACGGAACGUGCCGAAACGCAAGCAGAGCCAGAAGGAGCCACCAGCUGGUCAAGGACGGCCCCCCUGACACAGGGCCCUGGACAGACGUGCCUGCCAGCAGCCACGCUGAGACCGGGGCGGGGACCUGAGACCCAGAUUUUACAGGCAGCUGAGGGCUGUCACCAAAGUCACAGGGUCACUCUGAAGCAACCGGAGUUUUCCUCUCAGCUGGUGCUUCCAGCGCAGACAAACUCUCCCCAGUGUGUCUGGCCUUGACUCACACAUGCAAAGGGAAGUAACUCCAAUUUCACCAGAGGUAAGAAUGUUUCGGAUGCUCCUUUUUCCCUUACCAAGUAACAGUUUCUGUUCUCGGCAUGAACUACUUCACAGACAAACCAGCACUGGACACCUGCUGAGCCUGUACGAGCAUCUGUCUCCUUCCAGAUGCCUUACCCGGGCUGUUACCCCGCGGCUGCAAACGGCCGAUCCCCGCUCCUUUCGACAAGUUUCAUCGUGUGAAACGUGUCUCCGCUCUCUCUCCGCGGUCUGACGAGCUCUCCGAGCACCGUCCGAGCUCCUGCCGCCCGCCCGCAGUGGAAUGCCCCGCGCCGGCCUCGGUUCCGCUGUCACCGGGGCCGACUAUUUAUCAUGGAACCCAGAGGCUGCCCAGAAACCCUGAGCGCCCGUCGGCCUUCACCAGCUCGCGGGGUCGCGGGGUUGGAGCA